rnacentral:rRNA from 1 species
AUUGAACGCUGGCGGCAGGCCUAACACAUGCAAGUCGAGCGGAUGACGGGAGCUUGCUCCGUGAUUCAGCGGCGGACGGGUGAGUAAUGCCUAGGAAUCUGCCUGGUAGUGGGGGACAACGUUUCGAAAGGAACGCUAAUACCGCAUACGUCCUACGGGAGAAAGCAGGGGACCUUCGGGCCUUGCGCUAUCAGAUGAGCCUAGGUCGGAAUAGCUAGUUGGUGAGGUAAUGGCUCACAAAGGCGACGAUCCGUAACUGGUCUGAGAGGAUGAGCAGUAACACUGGAACUCAGACACGGUCCAGACUCCUAGGGGAGGCAGCAGUGGGGAAUAUUGGACAAUGGGCGAAAGCCUGAUCCAGCCAUGCCGCGUGUGUGAAGAAGGUCUUCGGAUUGUAAAGCACUUUAAGUUGGGAGGAAGGGCAGUAAGUUAAUACCUUGCUGUUUUGACGUUACCGACAGAAUAAGCACCGGCUAACUUCGUGCCGGCCGCCGCCGUAAAAC